rnacentral:tRNA from 1 species
CAAAAUGUAGCUUAAGUAAAGCCUCUUGUUUACACCAAGAAGAUGUCUGCUGAUCCAGAUCAUUUUGA